ensembl:lncRNA
UAGUGUCUGUGUUCAUUGAUGGAGACUGGUUUGUUUGCUGUUGGAAUACAUACAAAGAACAUCCACAGUUAGGCUGCAAAGACAAAAAAAACAUCACAGCUGAGGAGCAAGUUCUGAUUGCUAAGCUGAAAAACAAAUCCAUGAUUAUUGGCUUGGGUAUACUCUUGGCUGGCUUUUUGGUGGUUAGCCUUGUGUUGCCACUUGGAUGGAAGAAAUGCUGUGAAAAGAACAAGAAAUGCUCAAGUUGCUGUGACAGAAAACUGCUAUAUGACCAAAUGAUUUUGGAGGAGGAAGAAAAU